rnacentral:rRNA from 1 species
UACGAAGGGGGCUAGCGUUGCUCGGAAUUACUGGGCGUAAAGGGCGCGUAGGCGCCUUCUCAGUCGGACGUGAAAUCCCCGGGCUUAACUCGGGAACUGCGUCCGAUACUGGAAGGCUGGAGUUCGGGAGAGGGAUGUGGAAUUCCAGGUGUAGCGGUGAAAUGCGUAGAUAUCUGGAGGAACACCGGUGGCGAAGGCGGCAUCCUGGACCGAAACUGACGCUGACGGCGCGAAAGCCAGGGGAGCAACGGG